rnacentral:rRNA from 1 species
AACGAACGCUGGCGGCAGGCCUAACACAUGCAAGUCGAGCGAACCCUUCGGGGUUAGCGGCGGACGGGUGAGUAACGCGUGGGAACGUGCCCUUGGGUAAGGAACAACAGCUGGAAACGGCUGCUAAUACCUUAUGAUGUCUUCGGACCAAAGAUUUAUCGCCCAGGGAUCGGCCCGCGUUGGAUUAGGUAGUUGGUGGGGUAAUGGCCCACCAAGCCGACGAUCCAUACCUGGUUUGAGAGGAUGAUCAGGCACACUGGGACUGAGACACGGCCCAGACUCCUACGGGAGGCAGCAGUGGGGAAUCUUGGACAAUGGGGGCAACCCUGAUCCAGCCAUGCCGCGUGAGCGAUGAAGGCCUUAGGGUUGUAAAGCUCUUUCACCGGUGACGAUAAUGACGGUAGCCGGAGAAGAAGCCCCGGCUAACUCCGUGCCAGCCGCCGCCGUAACAC